AUGACUGAGCUGAAGGCGAAGGGUCCCCGCGCUGCCCACGUGGCAGGCACAGCGCCCUCGCCUACCCAAGUCGGAGCCCCUCUGCGGGGACGCCCAGACGCGGGCUCCUUCCAGGCGGGCGAGGCCUCGGGCCCGACCCCCACAGCCUCGGGCCUCCCCCUCUCCCUGGACGGGCUGAUCUUCCCUCAGCCCUGCCAGGCUCAGGACCUGGACGGGAAGACGCUCGACCCAGAGUCGCUGGCAGGCGUGGAGGGGGCGUAUUCCAGAGGGGAAGCCGCAGAGGGCGCUGCUGUGAGACCCCCAGAGAAGGACGGCGGAUUGCUGGACAGCGUCCUGGACACCCUGCUGGCGCCCCCAGGCCCUGAGCAGAGCCCCGCCAGCCCCGCCGUCUGCGAGGCCCCCAGCCCUUGGUGCCUCUUUGGCCCUGAGCUUGCCCAAGACGCCCGGGCUGCGCCCGCCGCCCAGGGGGUCCUGCCUACACUCAUGAGCCGCCCGGAGAGCAAGGCUGGCGACACCCCCGGGGUGGCCGCCGGCCAGAAGGUGCUGCCCCGGGGCCUGGCGCCGUGCCGGCAGCUGCUGGCCCCGACGGCCUCGAGCCACCCCUGGCCCGCGCCCGCGCCGAGGCCGUCUCCGCAGCCCGCGGUGGUGGAGCUGGAGGAGGACGACUCGGAUCCCGAGGGCUCCUCGGGGCCGCCCCUGAAGGGCAAAGCCCGGCCCGCGGGAGGAGACGCGAUCAGCGCUCCUGGGACCGCCGCGGGAGGCGUCGCCCCGGUGCCCAAAGAAGAUGCCCGCUUCUCGGCGCCCAGGGCCGCCCCGACGGAGCAUGACGCGCCCGCCGCGCCCGGGCGCGCCCCGGUGGCCACCGCGGUGAUGGACUUCAUCCACGUGCCCAUCCUGCCGCUCAACUCGGCCUUCCUGGCCGCCCGCACCCGGCAGCUGCUGGAGGGCGACAGCUAUGACAGCGGGCCCGCCGGCGCCUUCGCCCCGCCGCGGGGCUCGCCCUCCGCCUCGGCCGCCCCGGGCGCGCCUGGCGACUUCCCCGACUGCGCGUACCAGCCCGAAGCCGAGCCCAAGGACGACGCGUUCUCGCUCUACGGGGACCCGCAGCCGCCCGCCCUGAAGAUCAAGGAGGAGGAGGAGGGGGGCGCCGAGGCCGCCGCGCGCUCCCCGCGGCCGUACCUGCUGGCGGGGGCCAGCCCCGCCGUCUUCGCCGACUUCCCGCUGGCGCCGCCGUCCAGGCUGGGGGAGGUGGCGGUGCCCGCGGCCGCCACGGGGGCCCCAGGCUCGUCCGCGGCCGCGUCGGGGUCCGCCCUGGAGUGCGUCCUGUACAAGGCGGAGGGCGCGCCCCCCCAGCCGGGCCCGUUCGCGCCGCCGCCCUGCAAGGCUCCGGCCGCGGGCGCCUGCUUCCUGCCGCGGGACCUGCCGUCCACCUCGUCCGCUGCCGCCGCCGGGGCCGCCCCUGCACUCUACCCGCCGCUCGGCCUCAACGGGCUCCCCCAGCUCGGCUACCAGGCCGCGGUGCUCAAGGAGGGCCUGCCGCAGGUCUACCAGCCCUAUCUCAACUACCUGAGGCCCGAUUCAGAAGCCAGCCAGAGCCCACAGUACAGCUUUGAGUCAUUACCUCAGAAGAUUUGUUUAAUCUGUGGGGAUGAAGCAUCAGGCUGUCAUUAUGGUGUCCUCACCUGUGGAAGCUGUAAGGUCUUCUUUAAAAGGGCAAUGGAAGGUUUUCGGAACUUACAUAUUGAUGACCAAAUAACUCUCAUCCAGUAUUCUUGGAUGAGUUUAAUGGUAUUUGGACUAGGAUGGAGAUCUUAUAAGCAUGUCAGUGGACAGAUGCUAUAUUUUGCACCUGAUCUAAUACUAAAUGAACAGCGGAUGAAGGAGUCAUCAUUCUAUUCAUUAUGCCUAACCAUGUGGCAGAUCCCACAGGAGUUUGUGAAGCUUCAAGUCAGCCAAGAAGAGUUCCUCUGUAUGAAAGUAUUGCUACUUCUUAAUACAAUUCCUUUGGAAGGACUAAGAAGCCAAAACCAGUUUGAAGAAAUGAGAUCAAGUUACAUUAGAGAGCUCAUCAAGGCAAUUGGUUUGAGACAAAAAGGAGUUGUCCCUAGCUCACAGCGUUUCUAUCAGCUUACAAAACUUCUUGAUAACUUGCAUGAUCUUGUCAAACAACUUCAUCUGUACUGCUUGAAUACAUUUAUCCAGUCCCGGGCACUGAGUGUUGAAUUUCCAGAGAUGAUGUCUGAGGUUAUCGCUGCACAAUUACCCAAGAUCUUGGCAGGGAUGGUGAAACCUCUUCUGUUUCAUAAAAAGUGA
rnacentral:lncRNA from 1 species